UGGGGAAUUUUGGACAAUGGGCGCAAGCCUGAUCCAGCAAUGCCGCGUGCAGGAUGAAGGCCUUCGGGUUGUAAACUGCUUUUGUACGGAACGAAAAAGCUCUCUCUAAUACAGGGGGUGAAUGACGGUACCGUAAGAAUAAGCACCGGCUAACUACGUGCCAGCAGCCGCGGUAAUACGUAGGGUGCAAGCGUUAAUCGGAAUUACUGGGCGUAAAGCGUGCGCAGGCGGUUUUGUAAGACAGAGGUGAAAUCCCCGGGCUCAACCUGGGAACUGCCUUUGUGACUGCAAAGCUGGAGUGCGGCAGAGGGGGACGGAAUUCCGCGUGUAGCAGUGAAAUGCGUAGAUAUGCGGAGGAACACCGAUGGCGAAGGCAAUCCCCUGGGCCUGCACUGACGCUCAUGCACGAAAGCGUGGGGAGCAAACA
rnacentral:rRNA from 1 species